GAACUGAGCUGGAGGGCUGUGUUCACAUCCUGGAUUGCAAAAAUUAACUGGAUUUUGUCUCCUGAAUUGCUGCAGUGCACCGACUGAUAUCAUGCUGGAAAAAUAACACACUUCAAUGGAUCAAAGGACGGAAGGGAAAGGAUGAGAAGUUCCCUGAGAACUGAGCCCUGGGGCUGCUGCCCCUGAGGAGCAGGGUUUUUCCAAGUGCUGCCCAGCACGGGGAUCCGUGUGCUGGGACAGUGAUUGGCAGGAGGAAGGGGAGCCUUGGCCUCACCUGCCCAGCUCAGGCCAGGACCAAGCCCUGAAUGCAGCCCAGCUCUGCCAAGUGCCCUGGGCUGUGAGCAGCCAAAGGCAAGAGGCUGCAGCCCCGCCGGCCGGCGCUGGGGGCUCCUGGUGCUGUCCGUGGGGUGGGGGAUGCCCAGGACGCUGCUAAUGCCGAGGGAUCUGCUCUGGGGCCAGGCUGUCCGUGCUGGAGGGCCCUGGUGGCUGCAGUCCCUGAGCCCGCAGAGACAGAGAGAGCCCCGGCCCGAGUGGCCUUUGGCACCUUGUCCUGAAUUUGGGGUGAGCCUGGGAGCAUGUGGAAGAUGCUGGAAUUGCCUCUCUGGGUGUGUGCUGAGCUUUGGCUGCAGGGGACUGUCAGGCCUUGGUGGCUCUGUUCCCUGAUGUCCAUUCACUGGCCUGAAUUCCUUGCAGCUCCCAGCUGGGGAAACCUGGGAGAACAUGGCAGGGACAGAGGUGACAUUUGUAGCUGCCAACUUGGGGUAAUUUCGAGGGGACACAGCAACUGUUUCUGUAGGAAAAGGUGAGGUGCUCCAGAAGGGAGGGAGGUGGCGUUUUGGAGGGGUCCCACUGAGGGGGGAGUGGAGAGCCUGGGGCUGGAGUGUGAAUUAUUAAACAGGGAACAAGGGAAGGAUGCUUUGGAGGGAAACACUCAGGGAAUGUGUAGGGAUGGAAUGGAAAUUUGGGGAGUCAGGAAGAGAAAAUGGAUGAUGUAGAGGAAGGGAAAUGUUGGGGGUAAGACUUGAUGUCAUCUGUAGAGAACAGAAUGACCAUUUAGAGGUCAAGUGAGGCAGUCAGUGGUGGGCAGGUAGGGAAAAUUGCUGUUUGUAAAAUUUGAGGUCAUGUGGAGCA